rnacentral:rRNA from 1 species
AUGGCCUUCUGUCAAAGGUCCGGCGGCUCCCAGUUUUGCCAGUCAGUCAUCCAACUGCUUCCCGUCCUCCGCAUUGGGACCUCCAUCUCUGUCGGAUCGGGUGCUGCGACUUUGUUCUGGUUUGACCGUUGGGCGGGAGACACCCCCUUCGCGGCCCACUUCCCCGACCUCUUCUCCAUCACCGUCGUACCCUCGAUCUCAGUAGAGAGGGCCCUUAUUGACUUAGGGUGCCUCGCUUUCCGGAGGCCAUUUGGGCCUCCGGAAGCCGCCGCUUGGCAGGAGCUGCUUGAUUGCGUCGCUCUCCACGAGCCGGUAGUGGAUGCUGGCCCGGAUGAGGUGCGGUGGCGUCUUGAGCCUUCGGGCCAAUUCUCCACCAAGUCCCUCUACAGGGCCAUUGCCCCCUCCUCCGCCCCUCCCCCCCUUACGGCGGUAUGGUCUAUCCACCUGCCACUGAAAAUCCAGAUAUUCAUGUGGCAAUGGAUCCGCAGACGGAUCCCGUCUGGGGUGGAGGUUCGCAAACGCAAUGGCCCUGGUUCCGGCCUCUGCCCGCUGUGUGGUACCCCCGAAGAUUCGAAUCACAUCUUCUUCUCCUGCGUUUCUGCCCAAUUCGUGUGGAGCUGCUUUAGGGAGGUGGUGGGAGGUGAUUGGUGCCACACCAAUUUCCCCGACCUCUACGCCGAACUCCAGACCUCCCCCCUACCCUCUCGCCACAUUAGGUGGCUUGAGAUUGGGGCCCUCACGUGGACCAUGUGGACGAUCCGCAAUAAGCUUGUGAUUCAGCGCAUUCCUCCUCGACGGGCCACUGACGGUCUCUUCAAACUGUCUGGUUACUUGCAGCUUUGGCGACCGCUUAGCCGCCCUCAGGAUCGGGACGCCAUCUCCACCUUCAUCGCUGACCUGCGCUUGAUGGCCGUCCGUCUGUAG